UAAGCUAGUGGGGGCAAAGUUUCAGUGGAUUCCGUUGAUGUAGACGGCGUGAAAACGGAAACAAGAAGUAUGCCGGCUCACUGUACUGCAUACAGUUACACACUACGUCGUACGAUUGAGACAAGGAAACUUGGAAUGACUUUUCAUAGGUAAGAAUAGUUUUUGGCUCUUUUUUCAUUAUGAAAUCUUGUUGAGAGCUUCCAGUCUAUGAGAGCUAACUAGUUAGCCACUAGCAAAACGCUAAGGCGAGCUAGCAGCUUGACAACCAAAUACCAGACGAUUAAUAGUAGCUGUAGUAUAGUUGUACAAGCAGUAGUAGUAAUACUAAAAGUACAAGCAGCAGUAGUAGUAUAAACAGCUGUUAGAGUCGUAGAAGUAGUAUCAGCAUUUGUAAUAGUAUUACAAGUUGUAGUAGCAGUGCCAGCAUCAGCAGUUAAUGUACUACCAAUACUACUAGUAGUAGUCACAAUGCUAUUACUACCACCAAUACUACCAAUAGUAGUUAUAAAGGCUAACUCAUGUAUAUCCAGAUUACCAUCUAUGUUCUUCCUCCAAACCCAUUUUAUGAUUGGGAUUACAGGCAGUUCUUUAGGACUGCUCUCAAAUAAUUGAACAGUUACUAAACAAGGUUAUACUUAUCAAAUUAAAUAGCUCUGGUCUCCAGUAUAUUGGCGAAUUCGGGUCUUUGUACUUAAUUUAUUAGCAUGAUUUCUUUUUAAUAUGUUGUGUACAGACUUAAUUACUUCUCUGUCUACUUUUCUUACUCCAUGUAGGUUUCCCAGAGACUAUGGGUUGAGGAGGAAUUGGAAGUUUGUCGGCUUAGACCUGGUGUCAUUCCAUCAGUGUUAAACUUCCCGGCUCAUCUUGGAAGAGUACGUGCCAGAAAGACCACGACCAAGCAGCCUUGAGAUCUUAGGCAGCGUCUCCCUGAGGUCCCUCUCUGUCUCCCCACACAUCCACCAACCACUGGAACACAUCUCCAAAGUUCUGCCGGGCCAGCUCAGCUUCCCCUCAGAAGAAGUGGCGCCACCUGCCAGAUGAAGGAGCCUUUUGAGAGGCAGCUGGCAUCGUGAUUGGACUGUACUUUGGUCUGUUCCAAUCCAGCUUCAGCUCCAGAGACGGCAGGCGGGACGAGUCAACGGAGGCCAGGUGGACGAAGGCAUGCAGCUGAGUACAAUCCAGAAAACAACAGAGGAGGAGUGCAGCGGCCAGAACAACCAGAGUAGCAUCUUAUGUCUCUUAGAAAACAUCAUAGUAUAGCCUUUGCUAUGAAAAAACGCCAUCAUAUACAUCGAAUAUUGUACAAAUAAGUCAAAGGAAAGAGACAUACAUUGUAGAAUUGUAGUAAUUGUGGGCUGACUGAUUUACUGAUUAUCAGUAUUUUAUUUUUUACUGAUUUACGGUAAUAAAUACAUUCAAAAAUGGU